rnacentral:snRNA from 1 species
CUUAGGCUUUUAAGAUCAGGUUG